AUUUUUGAGACAGGGUCUCUCUGUGUAGCUCUGUCCUGGAACUCACUACACAGACCAGACUGGCCUCAAACUCUGCUUGCUUCUUCCUUCCCAAUGCUGGAUUUAAGAUGUGCUCUACCAUGCCUGUCCCCCAUCUUAAUAUUUAUAUAUUGUGUGUGUGGACAAGGCAUGUCACAAUUCACGUGUAAUCAGAGAACCAUCCCAAGAGUGAGUUCUCUCCUUCCACAACGUGGGUUCCAGGGACUGACCUCAGGUUGUCAGGAGCCAUCCCACUGGCCCACAUAUUCUCUUUUGAAGGGGUAUAAUGAUCUAUUAAUUAUAUACCUAUGCAGUUCUACAAAAUGUAUCGUUUUGAGAGCUUACUUAUUGUCUAUGAAGUUUACUAAAUGAAAGACAUCUGCCACUAGCAAUGUACUUUUUAGAGACUGAGUGUGUGUCCACAAGCAUAUGCAUGAGAGUGUAAGUGUCUGAGGGCCAGAGGUGCGGUGUAGACAAGGCUGUCCUCCAGUUCUCAGCGAUCCACAUGCCUCUUAUUCUGAGGGCUGGGAGUUUGGGGAUUAAAGGCAAUUUAUUUUCAAACAUUCAUUUUCAUACUGUUUUAUUAAUUUCUUAGCAUUUAGCAUAUGACUGAAAUACUUUUUUAGCUAUCCUAGUUUGAGAAUUCCGAGAACAGAAUAAUUUAUUUUCACUUAACAAAGUAAUGAUUAUUUUGCAACUAUUUCCUAUGACCAUGGCCAAUGGUCUCUAAGCAAUCGUGACUAUAUAAUGACCCUAAAGAUGGUAGUGUUUAGGAGUCAAGCAUUUUAUGUCUCACAAAAAAACAUGUCCUAUGGCAUGAAUUAUCCACACACACACAAAAAAAACUAUGUGUUGAGUGUUUUGCCUGCAUAAUGUAAGUGUGCUACAUCUACGCCCGGUGCCCAGAGGCAGGAGAAGGGCCAGACAUAGGAACCAAACCUAGGUCCUCUGCAAGAGCAGCCAGGGCUCUGGGCCACUCCGCCAUCUCUCUAGCUCCACUAAAAAUAAUAAUAGUAAAAUAAAAAGAAAACCUUUAAGAAUUAAUGGCAUGUCUUUAAUUUCUGGCCUUGUUAGAAUUUUGUCAGUUUAAAAUAUAUUUACUGCCCAGUGGCGGCAGUGGCGAACGCCUUUAAUCCCAGCACUUGGGAGACAGAGACAGGCAGAUCUAUGAGUUUGACGCCAGGACAGUUAGGGAUACACAAAGAAACUCCAGCUCGAAAACAUAUGCGUAUAUACAUAUGUAUAAGAAAUAGUGACACAAAUCCAUAAAGUUUACCAAUGACUUGAAAUUCCAUGAAGCUGAGGUAUCAAUUUAUUUGAGAAUUUAAUUUUACUAAAAUUAGCAAUCUCAUAAGCAUCUUUUUACAAAUCUUUCUUUUUCCAGAUUUCUUUAAAAUAAAGACCUAGUGAUUGGAUCAUCAAAAAAUUGAAAUGAACAUUUGAGUGAACCUGUGAACUCCUCUACAGAGGGCCUGACUUUCAGGAUAGUUGAGCAAGCGCGCUCACGUCACAGCCAGUUAGGUCACCAAACUGGAAUAUGAAUUAUAGCUCUCUUAGAUUUGUACACUUCAGACACUGUACUUGUUAUAAAAAUUAUUUCCAGGUCUGGGGAUAUGGUUCACUUGGUAAAGUAUUUGCUGACACAUCCGCAAAGCCCUGGAUUCGAUCCCCAGCAUACAUAAAGGAGAUGCUGUGCUCACACUGGGAAUUGCAGCAGUCUGAGGCAGAGGCAGAGAAUCGGGCAUUCAGUCCAACCUCAGCUAUGCAGGAAUUCCAGGCCAGCUUGGAAUGUCUAAAUAAAGUAAUAAAUUUUAUUUCCAUCGA